rnacentral:rRNA from 1 species
UUUUUGAUUAUAAUUUAAAGUCGGGCCUGCCCMCUGAAAUUUUUGAAGGGCCGCAGUAUUUUGACUGUGCAAAGGUAGCAUAAUCAUUAGUUUUUUAAUUGAAAGCUAGUAUGAAGGGUUUGAUGAGAAAAUUACUGUCUCAUUUAUAAUAAAAGAAUUUUAUUUUUAAGUUAAAAAGCUUAAAUUUAUUUAAAAGACGAGAAGACCCUAUAGAGUUUAAUUAAAAUUUAAUUUUAUACUUUUAGAAUUUUAAGGUUUAAUUUUAAAUUUUAAUUUAAUUGGGGUGAUUAAAAAAUUUAUUUAACUUUUUUUAUUUUUUAACAAUUAUUUUUGAAUAUUUGAUCCAUAAAAAUGAUUAUAAGAUUAAAUUACCUUAGGGAUAACAGCGUAAUUUUUUUGGAGAGUUCAAAUCGAUAAAAAAGAUUGCGACCUCGAUGUUGGAUUAAAAUUUACUUAAGGUGUAGAAGUUUUUAAGUUAGGUCUGUUCGACCUUUAAAAUUUUACA